rnacentral:lncRNA from 1 species
UUUUUUUUUCAGUUUGGCAUCCUAGUUUUGUGUCUGAUCGUCUGAAUUUAAAUGCAAAUCGUCCGGCGAUCAGGUGUUCCACUCCACGGGGCCAGUUUAUAUGUGCAUGCGUAAUCCCAUGUUUUGCCAAUAUAUCACAAUCAUUUGAGAACUAAAGUCCAGUUACUGUCAAAAAAAAAAACUAUAUGAUGUUUUGCCUUACUGAGUACUGUAGCUCUGCUACUUCACUGCUGCAUCCUAGAUAGAUGGACAACUAACUUUGAGUUUGAGGACUGCAUUUUGAUUCAUUCCUCAAUCAUAAUUUCUUCUUUCGGCAGCACCUGUUGGUGCUAUGCACAAUACUAACAGGAUCUUCCCAGAGGAGGGGUUCCGGUUCUGUAACUCGGCAAAUAUUGUCUCGGUCAGUAUCGUUUCCUCCGACUAUGGAUACCCGCUCAAUGUCUACGGCACCAUCAUAGCCAGGGACAGUCUGGAUCGCCAACGCAUCUAUUUAUUCCAGCGUGCCAAGGACGAUUGCCAGAACAUCAGCUCCAAGGUAUUAUUGCUUUUAACUCCGACUGAUAAAUUCCAACCGCUUUUUCCAUUUUAACGCAGAGCUAAGUAAACACCAUGUUUAUUCAAAUUACUUCCUUUUGUAGAAUGAUGUGUUGGUUUUGACUGGCCCGAAGAGAGGACUGAUGAUAUGUGAUUCAAUAAUCUUUGAAGUUGAUCUGAAGGUCAAGGAUGUGAAUGGUAGAAAGGUGAAGGACGAGAGAGUUAGCAAAGGCUUAAUGGAGAUUAAUGGCAUCAAAAGACUCUCAUAUCCACCGAAAUACCAGGUUCAAACGGAAAAACUUGUCAGCAUGCACAGCACAUUGGAUUUGAACUACACGUUUGUAAGGAAUGCGGUGGAGGGCACCGUUGAGGCGAGGAUGAUCCUUGAGGAGGGACCUGUUGAUUAUUUCCAUGGGAAAAUCGUCGCUCACACUAGCAGCUUUCCAUGUGACAUUAUGCUACAUGAUAGCGAACUUGCUGGGAUGCUAACAGCCGGUGAAGGUGGAAUCCUGCAAACAGCACGCCGCGUGGUCAGCGUCUCUAUUGAUGAGACGCUCCUGUUGACCGUUGCCGCUGCUACCAGUGGUGUCGGCACUGUUGAGUUUACUCCAAAGCGUGGCAGCUAUGAUGAAGAGAAAAUCACUUGCGGCGACUAUAAGAUGCUGGUGAAGGUCACUUGGUCCAUUGUGUGCUGGUGAAGGUCACCUGGUCCAUUGUGCAUCGCUGAUUCCGUGCAUUCCUGGUUGAACAUGCUAUAUCCAAAUUAAGAUGUGUGUGCUCUGUAUAUGCUGUCGUACUAAAUAGGUCUAUGCUUUUGGUGGAAGCUUCAUUAUCACUGUUUGUUUGUUACCACUCUGUUCGUUACAACUGAGUGGGAUAGGAAUUAUAUGUAUAUCCGGCAUGAGCUUUGAAGUAGGAGGAACAGACAAAGUGUAUGUGCAUCACUUUGAUUUUGUUUCAGCACUCGAGUCUUAUAUAUAUGUGCACUCGCGCUAUUCGUCACCCCUUAUUCCUCACCCCAGCCUGCCCAUGCAUCUACAGCCACGCAUGGCACACUGUAAGGUAAAAUUACAUUGUGGAGGAAGGAGCAUGUCCGACUAAAACUACCGUAAGUAAAAAGGCUUUGAAGGUGAUUUUACAAGAUGCAUGGAGGUAAGUUACAUAUCGUGCAUGCGAGCAACCCAUCCGGUUUUGCUUUGUUUUGCGUGCUACGUAAUUUUACUGUGGAUAGACUACUCAAAUUACCACUGUCUAUAAGAUGUCUACCGCAUCUUCCUCUAUCAUCUGUCAACUUCUUUUAACAAAAAAAUCUCCCAGCCAACUCCGAAGAAAUGAUGAUAGAGUGCAGUACGAAGAGAGAGGCAAGAUGCUUCUCCAGGUUGCCAUCGUCCAGCCCGUCGCUCGGCCGGCGGCAGGAUGCUUCUCCGGGUAGUCGUCCACCGUGUCGCUCGGCCAGCUGAUCCAUAGAGAGCGCCGCCAGCUUAGCAUGUGCAUGGAUACAACACACACUAAUUCUACAAACAAGAACGUAGGAAAUUUGAUGCGAAAAAACGUUGUUUCUAGAUAAAUUUCAACAAACAGAAAUAAAGCUAUGUUUUUAUAAUAGCAUGACCAAUUAAAAUGUGGUCAAAUGAAAUUUAAGAAAAAUAGGAAAGAGCAUACCCUUCAACAAAGGAAAGUUGGUGUAUCAGCACAAAAUAGUGCUACUAAUACAUAUCAAGGUUGCUACAAGUUCAACUGUGCAGUGAGCUUGCCCAUCCAGAAGUAUUGGCUAAUUACAUGCUAUAUACCUGCCGAAGAACACUGACUGUAAAUUGAAACUCAAAUUUUGUAUAAACUUACUAAGAAAAGAAAAACAAAACAACUACUUGCACUGAUAAGUACUAAAAACAAAAUGCAUUUUCUUACUAGCCCUAAAAUUCAAUUUCAAACGACGCAUAAAUUAAUCUCUCGUACACAAUUGUUUCUGUGAAUACAACAAUCAAACACAUAGAUGAAUCUAUAUAGAGAGGUGCCCAAACAAAGAAUGAGGCGGAUAAAGUUAAAACAGGAUUUGAUCAACAUACUUGUAUUUAAGGUAUGAGCUGGUAGUCUGUAACAGAGCUACACCCUGCAGCGGGGAAUUUAUUGGGCCAGGUGAAUAAUUCUGUAGUUUAGAUCCAACUCUUCAGAUAUCGGGAAUCUACAUCAGAAAAUUGGGGAAGUUACGAACACUAACAAAUCCAUGUUGCAAAAAUGAAGGCCAUGUAUCCUAUCCAAUCUGGCACUCCUCUAACCCACCGCUUCAGCUCCAAAUGGUCCCCCGGCCGCCCGGCGUCAUACCACUACGACGAUGUCGUCUACAUGGCCGAACCACGAGGCCAAUGCAGCAGUUUCUCCCGGCCCCGAAUCAAUCCGAUGUCAGUCCUUGGGCUCAUGGCGUGGUGGCCUCCUUCACAAUGGGCAUUCAAAGCAACUCCAAUGGGGCGACCCAUUUUGUUCGCAGCCGUCCGUUUGGAUCGGCGCGGACAAAAAAAUCGGCCCAAUGGCCGACACAAACGGACGCACGUCCGCUUUCGUCCGUCUGUCGACCCAUUCCCGGCUCAUUUUUGAGCCGGAUUUGCAUCGGCGCGGACACAAGACGGACGCGCGCGCUCUCUUUUCUCACCUGGUUCGCUGGUCAGUGACAUAUUGGAUUGGCCUCUCCACAUCAAACAACACACCCUCGCCCGCCUGCUUCGUCGCCGACGCCGCAGGCCAUUUUUUCCGAUAAAAAUGGAUACAUAGAUAGUUCUAGCGUACAUAGAUAAAAGAAAAGACCACUACUCGUCGCUUUCUGACUCCGACUCGGUAAUGUCCUCCUCCGACGUCUGAAUGUAGGCGUCAGUAUGCUGCUCGUCUUCAAAAUCCCAACCCGACGUUUCUCAUAGCUUCAGUUUCAAUUCAGCGGCCUGCUUCCACGAACGCUUGUCCUCCCGAUAGGCGGCUCGCUCCGUCCUCCUCGCGUCCCUCUCCAACCUCCUUUACUUGUAGAACUGGCGCUCGUCGACGAUGUCCUGCGGGAAGCGUUCGCGCCACACCACGAUGGCUUCCACGUCCAUCUCGGUGAUGGCGAGGCGAGGCUAUCACCUCCGGUGGACAUGACGAUCCUCGUCGGUGAAAAGCCGCGGGAGAGGCGCCAGAUCCUGCGCCCGCUGGCUCGACACGUCGGAAAAAUUCAUAUAACGAGCGCCGGCCGCGGCGCGCGCGCGAACCUUUCCCGCGUGCUGGAGCGCGAAAACCAGCACGCGCUAGACCGCUUUCCCGCGCGCGCGAACCUUUCUUGCGUGCUGGAGCGCCAAAAUCAGGGGGACGGCAUGGCCGCCGGCAUGAUCUAAAGCGCGCACAGUCAUAAAAUGGGUCGGCCCGUUGGACGCACUGCCGACUCAAAACUAAAAAAGGGAGGACGCGGACGGGGGCCGACCCAAACGGACAAAAACGCCGUCCGUUUGGGUUGACCUGUUGGAGUUGCUCUCACAGGGAGGAAUCAAAGACAAUGGGGAAAAGAGAGUUGGGGAAUGGAAGGAACGGGAACCGUAUGAGCCGAGGGAGAGGAAGUCAUGGGAGUCAAGCCAGCCAUAGAGGAUUCGAGGUGACCGCCCCUGCCGCAAUAGCGCCGCCUCCGCAAACUAUGCUUCCGACCAUCCACCACAGCGACCGAGGCCAGCCGCCGCUCACCACGGCGUCCCGGCUGCCCCGUUGAGGCGUUGACCAUCACACAGUCGAGCCCAGUCGCCGCCGCUGGAACCGCAACUGGGAUGUGGUUGGCUUGUAAUCCCUGGACCACUUUUUUUUUCUACUCCAUCCAUCCCACGACAUGUGACAUUCAGAGGCGUGGGCGCUGUAACAUCGAUGUAAUAUUACCUUCAACAGGGACAAAAGGUUACGACAGAGGAGCCAGGAUGGGGUGCAGUGGGAUCGGGAGCAAUGAUACUUUGGGUGGGUCGGUUGACCAGGGUGAGGAAUAAUUUAUUCUUCAUUCUGGGUGUCUAAUAGAUUUUCUAUAUAUGACUAUUUGUCAUCCUGGAUGAGGAAUAGUUAUUCUUCACCCCCCUCUAUUUUACCAUUAAUGCAUCGUAAUUUUACGUUUCGUAAGUUUUGUCUUAUUUCUGACGUAAAAAAAGAUCGUAAGAAAAUAUAUAAUCGUCGUAAAAAAUAUUUUAUGUUAUGUAAAAUUACAAACGUAAAAACAUAGUGUAAAAUACACAUAAACUGCAAAUUUUCUUGUCUUAUGCCCUAUAUUUUUUAAUUUUUUAUGCCAAAUUUUAUGUAGUGAAUCAAUAAGAAUGUAACUAUUUGAAUUCCAAACGUAAUUUAAUUAUGAAAUGAUCGUAAGAUUACCUCGGAUGAAGAAUAACUUAUUCCGUACCCUGGGUGAUGAAUAGUAAUACUAUAUAUAUAAUUUUGUUCUAACGCUGGUCCACAUGGCAUUGUAGAUAGUAAGUAAUACAUGCAAAUAUAUAUAUUUCUGUUGCAUGGUCCGAAUGUAAGAUUAUACAGUACUAUAUAAAUCUGCAACGCUUGUGAAGGACAGAUAACACCAGAAUGUGCAUAUCUUUUCCUUAUAGUCUGUACAGUGGAUCAUUGAAAGAAAAACCUUCUGGUUGCGUUUGUCGCCACUUGAGCUAUCGAUCUGCACCAGCGCUAGCAUGCUGCCGCGUCCGUGCGUGCUACUGUCGCAAUGGUAGAAGUCGCAUUGGAUUGUGCUGACGCCACACUGCCUGACACAAUCAACGGUCUGUGCUGAAGUGCCGCCGUGAAGGUUGCCGAUUAGUCGGCUGCGUCGACGAUGCCCUGUGAUGCGAUCGAUCAAGGCAGCUAACAUCGGCGGCAGUGAUUGGAGUUUCAGCAACUCAGCGUUCCUUAGCAUCGCGUACCCAUGGCUCCUACUUCCAACUAAAUCAUCAUCUCCAUGGGCUGGAUCUGCGGGGGCUUGGAUGUGACACCAUGUAGUUCCCACGAUGGAAGCAAGCCAACCAUGGUGGGUAGCUGAUGCGAGAGAUGAGGGAGAUUGGUAACAGCAAAAACUAGAUCGAAAACGUGCCUUGGCAAGGUAGUGAAUGCUCAGUUUAGUAGGAAAUCAAGUUUAGCGUACGUAUUCAAACAGGAUACAACAAAAUAAAAGGAAGAAGAAACAUUCACAUGUAAUAGGAGCAAAACACCAUUGAGUUCAACAUCAUCAUGAAACUAUAAGACAGCAUACGGUAGGUUAAAAAGCUCUGUUUCCAUAAACAUUUGAAUCACAACCACCAUGGCCCAGAUAUAAAGAUGACCCAUAUAAACCAUGAACACAGAGCCUCCAACCAUCCACAAAUUGAAUAUGUACAUAUAAGAAUUGACUUGUUCUUGUUUUGGUCGCUGACAAGCAAAACCAGUCCCCUGGCUGUAUUCCCAUUGGUGGCAACCUGAAGAAAAAAAACAUAAGAUUGGCUUAAAAAAAUACUCGACAGAUACUCCAUUAUCAACAAAAUAGGUGAAUGGCUGGUAUACAAAUUAGCUGAGCAACACAAGAUUUUGACAGCAAACAUCCUGCCACAAACGAUGAAAAACGAACAUAAGCAAACCCCCCAGAAAAAAGAAAGCCUAACAAUAAUAGUAGAUAGAUCUAUUAAGGCACAAUCCUUGCUUAAAAUACAGCCGCUAAACUAAAAUACGAACAGAGAAAGAUGGGAGAAGAUGAGCAGCUGCAACGGGAUGGCCGAGCAUGACAUAUUACCAGCUCACAACAGUCACCAAUCCAAUAGAAAAUCCUAACCCUAGAACAUUAACGGGGCAACAAAAGAGCUAGAUGAGCACCUGGAGAUAACAAAUCGAACGAAAAAAAUGNNNNNNNNNNNNNNNNNNNNNNNNNNNNNNNNNNNNNNNNNNNNNNNNNNNNNNNNNNNNNNNNNNNNNNNNNNNNNNNNNNNNNNNNNNNNNNNNNNNNNNNNNNNNNNNNNNNNNNNNNNNNNNNNNNNNNNNNNNNNNNNNNNNNNNNNNNNNNNNNNNNNNNNNNNNNNNNNNNNNNNNNNNNNNNNNNNNNNNNNNNNNNNNNNNNNNNNNNNNNNNNNNNNNNNNNNNNNNNNNNNNNNNNNNNNNNNNNNNNNNNNNNNNNNNNNNNNNNNNNNNNNNNNNNNNNNNNNNNNNNNNNNNNNNNNNNNNNNNNNNNNNNNNNNNNNNNNNNNNNNNNNNNNNNNNNNNNNNNNNNNNNNNNNNNNNNNNNNNNNNNNNNNNNNNNNNNNNNGCAUCGAGCGCCUCCGACGGGUGCUCCUCACCCUGCGUCUCUACCCCCGCUGCUCUUCGGUUGAAGUGACGGCGCGUAGUGGACGAUGGAUCUCGUGGCGUGGGCCGUGACAGAUGACGUGGAACUCGCGGUGGGGGCGUGGCGGAGGAGGCGGAGCUGGGGACAGGGACUGAAAAUGGCGGCGGCGAGACGCAUCGCGCGCGUGCGUGCGGGAAAGGUGGGGCUCCUUUGGUUUUCAGUUGCUCCUGCAAGAAGACGACCAGGCAAAUUAUACGCGAGGAAAAGUAAGAAGCGGACAAGGGCGAAAGAAACGAACCUUUGUCACGGCGACGAGGCAACGACAAGCCGGAAGGGCGUCGGAUCUGGCGGAAAGGGACGGAGCGGAGAGAAGGGACGAAUAAGAGAAGGUGGCCUGGACGCGGACGGCGGAGCUAACAUUUCCAGGGCUAACUGCAACAGGGCCUUGUGCUCCAUCAUGAGAAGGUAUUGACCUAUACAUGAAAAAAAACAAUCUUCAGUUUCAAUUAAAGUGAGUCAACAUACAUAGUGUCUAAAUUUUACAGGUUUGGAAAUAUUGUAAUCUCUAAAUUGUAGUGAAUGGUAACUACCAACCUAAAUUAAAUUUUCUAUCUUCUUUUAUGGAAUAAGAUAGACCUACCAGAUUACAAGUCAGAUUCUAAUGAAUCUUAAUCAUUCACAAGCCUAUAGAUUAAAGUACACUCAUGUGGUAUAACCUAAUUACUAAUUAACCUGCAUAGCUACAGAUCAUGUCAUCUAUCCAAAUGAUAUGUGCUCAUUUGAUAACCAGCAAAAAUUUACCUAACUCUAUAAAUAUCUUCCAAUUACUACUGCAACCUGCAAGAAAUAAUUAAUCUGCAGACAAACAUGAGAGGUAUUCAGGAAACAAAAAAAUACUACUGCUCCAAUAAUUACUAUAAACUGAAAGAAAUACAAUACUUAAUUUUAUACAUACAGAGAAGGAUUCACGGAACAAAAAAUCUGCUCCAAUUACUAUUGUACUGAAGAAAUACCUAAUAUGCAGACAUACAUGAGAGGGAUUCAGAAACAAAAAAAAUACUACUGUUCCAAAUACUACUAUAAACUAAAAGAAAUACUUAAUUUGCAACAUACAUGAGAGGGAUCCAGGGACCAAGCACAAGUUGCACACCCACAUAUAGGAAUGCCGGACGUACAUGAGAGAGAUUCAGGGAACAAAAGAAACUCACCCUGAACACCGGCUGUUUGUUGUGUUCAUCACCUCCUUGGUACGGUCAUGGUCCUCUUCUUGGCCUGCGUCCAUCUCCCGGCACCCCCGUGCUGCUGCACUCCUGGUCCUGCGAGCAGCAAAGCUCUUUGUACGUCGUGCCACCUUGAUCACCACGGUCCGGAAGCCAAGAGCAUGAGCAGACCAAAAUCAGAAUGGAUUAACCAGGAAACCCUAGACAAAUCCCUAAAAAACAACAAAGCCCUUGAUGAGCACAUACACAUCACAAAGGGAAAGACAAACAAGGGAGCAAAUAAUCACCUCAGCCAUCUUAGAAGCCCACUCGGUGUGCUCCCUCUCCGGCCGACCCGCAAGACAACCCCAACGCCACGCCACCGUCCCAGCCAUGAAACAACCAGAGAAGCAAGGAAGAUGGUAAGAAACAAGCGAAAUAAAAAGUAGUGGGCAUUAAUAUCACAAGAUUUUUACAUGCAAUGGAUGCGCACUCACAUGCACACAAAGUUGGCUCCAGCCGGUUUGAGCCAUCCAAAAUUAAACAAAAACGUGAUGUGCGUGCGCACACACACACACACACAAUUUGCUGCUCGAGUUUCAGUCAUGGCAUACACAAUUUGUAUGCAUCCAAAACCGAAGGUACAAAUAGCAGGUAGAUGAGAGGGGGAGCUCACCACAAUUGUGUUGGGUGGGAGUUGAAGAGGGAGGUAGGGAUGUUGGCCUGCUCCUCUCAAUGAUAUCAUAAAUAACCUUUCAUCUCAAUGUAUUAUUUAGUUAUGCUACAUGCAGAAUGAGAUACAAAAAGAACAUGUAAUAUACCAAAAAAGGGAAUGCAGCAACAGCGGAAAGAAAUGCUAAAAGGGAACAUAGAGCAGAAAACCAAUCCAAAAUGCAAGCAAGAGUCUUUAAAAGGGAACAUAGAGCAGCAGGAGCAUGAGGCAUAGAAAAAUGGGGUCACCUUAAGAUGAAGAAUCAGUGGCCCUCUCUCGGUUCAAAUCAGAAGGAUAGAACCACUAUUAUUGAUUAGAAUUAUUUUUACUCAGGCAAAACAUUACAACACUGGAUCCUAAGCUACAGGUGAGGCAUACAAAACUACAAGUGUCUAUUAUUUUCAUAUAUAAACAACCUUUAGUAUCUCAACUAGAACCAAAGCAAAACAAAAAAAAUCAUGGUUAAGUAACCAGCAAAGGAAGAAUGCACCUUUUUGGAAUUUUAAAGUAUCAAGACAUUAAAAGUUCUCUUUUGCCUUCAAUACUACACACAUUAGGGGAGGUAGCUGCAGUUUUAUUGCAUAGUGGGCUCAGAUUCGCCUUUUCUCGAUCAUAUAAACUACCCCCAUCAUCUCUUAUCACCGGAUCAAUCUAUUUAUACAAUGGAACUGCCCUGGUUAUCACUCAACAAGAAUGACCAUCCAAGGACAGAUCAAUAGGUAUCACAUGAUUAAAAAGGAUUCUAGAGACAACUAGCGGGUAGUGCGCGGCGGCACGCCGCACCACUCGGACUAAUUAGCUAUUUAGUUAUUUUGUAAUUUUUGGUAAGUUUGUUUGAAAUAUUUGUCUAGGACAAAGUAGUCCAUAGCAUAUCGGAAAACUCUUCAUCAUUUCCUACACCUAGAAUGUCGACCCUCCAGCUGGAUUUGUCUCGGUAACAUAAUGGUAGAGUGAGGAAGCUAGUUCUUCUGCUCGUGUUGUCGGUGGUUUGUCUCCAGUAUAAAUGAUGUUGAAGCUUGAGGUUGCACGUCCUGGCUCUCGACGAAUUAUGAUGCUCGGUGUUCAUAUGGGCAGCUUGAGUAUCGGACAAACCUUAGUUUUGAAGGUCUACCAGAAACUGCCUGGGAACCGGAAACAAUGAGGUUGAUUAUUGCAGGACUGAGAGGCGAGCUCAUUGAGAUAUUACCGUCCGAAGAUCGAUGGAUAAUUGAAGUAGUUGCAUGGCUUGCUAAUCCUAACAAGGUACCUAAAUCAAUGGAAGUAGAGGUGCCGACACCACCUCUGCCACCUUGGAAGCCAGACUCUGACAAUGAAGGAGAAUCGCCACCACGUCCGUCAUCACCUACCUAUAGGAGAGUGAUGGUUUUCCCUGUGACCAUUCAUGUGAAAGAGGUUUUGGACCGUGGUCCCUUGAUGUCUGAAUUGCCAUCUGCAUAUCUUCCUGGCGAAGGCGUGGAUCUAUCUCGAAUCCAUGUGUUCGACACCUGGCGUGGAAAAGUUGAUGGCAGUGGCCCUGGUGAUAAUGGAAUGGCCUAGAUCAUGCCCUAGCAAAGUUGCUGAAUAGCAGCAGCUUCUUUCUUUCCUUUUUCAAUAAAAUUGUCAGUUGUAUGAUGUAUGGUUGUAUGCUGCCUUAUUUUACGUAAUUAAGGUAUGUAAUCUUUGCAAUUUAUGUACUUCGUUAAAUUCUUUCACGGCAUUUUUUUCUUUCUUGGUUUGGUUGACAAGUGAUGCAUGCAUUUGCCAGUACGCACAAUAAACUUAGAUUACGCUGCUAGGAGAAACCAAUGAGUAAUUCACAAUAUAGGUGGCCAGCUUUUACAACGCAUCUAGUUACUACUGCUAAAAGAGGUAAAAAAAAAGAGAGAGAGUCCCAACUUGCACAAGAGUAAAUCACAAUACAGGUAGUAGAUUUUACAGCACAUCUAGUUACUUACUGCUAAAAGGGGUUAAAAAGAGAAACACGCAGCACUUGUUUUUACGAAGUCCCAACUUGCACAUCUUCUGAUGACAGCUACUUGUUCAGUUGAUCCAUGCCUUGAUGGACGCUUCCAUCUUUCUGAAUUGCAUGCAUGUCACCAUAAAAGGCUCAGUCAUGUCUAGUAGCUUGAUCGACACUUGUCUCAUCUUGAUUUGGUGUGGGAUGAACCUCACGUCCUCACACCAAGCAGUGCAAUCGUAGGAUGAGACGAUGUUCUCCCAGUGGUCCUCUAAUGGAUCAUCAAUAACAGUCUUGUGCUGCUUCACCAUGCAAUACGGGCUAAGAAGGUACUCGAUUAUUGGAGCCAUGUAAAAACUGCAUGGCAUGUCAUGGAUCCUGAGCUCGACUGUGCAAUUGAUUGGAAACCCAAAUGAUCCAAAUGCUGGUGUCCAUGGCUAGAUGUCAACCUCACCAGCACGGAUCUCAGCUUCAAAUAUGGUACGUACAAUGUGAUAGAGCGAGCGACCCAUGAGAGGAAUGGAGGUUGAUAGCAAAAAAUCUGACGACGUGAGCCUUCUGGCUUUAAUUUUGAUGUAUCUUAUAUCACCCAGAUAAGUCACGAGACUAUCAAAGGAUGAGAAAUAGGUUUCAGCAUGCGGUGAAAAAAUGACCAUGCUAGACAAAAUCUGAAUCUAGGCGGGAUCGAUAAACCUCUGGGAAAUAAAGCAUUGGAUUGGUUUGCUUCCAGAACUGGUUAUUGGCACGGUUGGGCAGUAAGGCUGUUUCACUGGGUGGGCCCCGAUUCUGUACUCGCUGAUGAACAGAUUUACAUUAUAUGCGCUAAAGAAGAUCAUCUGUUGGUCUGCGGUGUACGCAUCCUCGUCGGACACGUUCACUUGUAUGGUUGGAGGCACCAUGAUGGAUGGACUGGCCCACGCAUAGCAUGUAAAAGUGGAUGGAUAUUCUAUUAAGAGUGAGUCCUGUGUGACAUAAUCUAAGGAGCAAUAUGGACUGAGGAUUUGCUCUACUAUGAUGCUCUUCCACAGAUGAAGUGGCAGAUUUCUCAUUGAGAUAAUAAUGUACUGAUUGGUAGAGAUUCUUCCUAGAUGGAGCAGUGCGUCAUCUACCAUAAAUCUAUAGCGGACACCUUGGAUAAUAAUAGUGGAGUGGCUUCUAGAGAGAUUGUAGACACGGUUUCCAGUGGUGUGGUGGGUGCAGGUCAUGACAAUCCUAUUGUCAGUGACAUCAUGGAAGGAUAGCUUGUAGUGCCUGGUGAACCUAGCGAUGAGAGCAGCAAGUACAUGCGGAGACGGAAGAGCAUUAGAGGGAGAACAUGGGGUGACUAUGUAAUUACGAUGGAGAGGCACGCAACUACGGGUUGCAAGCUGGAUCGCUCCCAUGAAACAUUUUUCUGCGUCUGGGCGAUGGAAGCCCACAUCGUUGGUGGAAGAAAGUUCGUCGUCCAUCAGAAUAGAAAUACCUGAAAAGAAAUGGCAACAAAAUAAACGAAACCACAAGGCAUCAGCAAGUUUGAAAGCAAGAUGACAGAAGAACAAAAGGAUUUAGUAAUCUUAUCUCUCCAAAAGCAUGCCUACCGUUAGUCAGAAUAGUGGCAAAGUGUCUCAAGGCACCAUUGUUUAUUCACACACGCUGUAAAAGUUUGGAAGCGUGUGAACCCAUAGCAUGGACCGGCCUCUUUAUAUAGCAACUGGCCGUAUAUACUGUAGAACUACUGUCAUCUGCAUGCGUGUCGUACCAUGGUAGAUCGUUUGCAUGCAGGAGCUAUAAAAAUCGUCUCGUGCAGUAACUGUAAAACGUCCCAUGCGUGCCAUCGCCAUGGUAGACCGCUUGCAUGUAGAACACUUGGCUAGUAAUCAGAGACGUGCUUCCGCCGUCCUCGGUGGGACAACGUAUUGCACAACAUGCAAAAGAUGACUGUACUCUACACAUGCAUGUCUGAGGUCUACGCAAAGCAGUCUAUGCAUGUCUAGUCCAGAAAUAUAUCUUUAAUUACAAUGCAUAGUCAUUUGCAUCUUUUAUUUGUCUUGUUGAUACGUUCACAGGUGGGCAGAAGUAGGAGGAGGCGGACCUUGCUAUGAUUUAUGGAGAAAGCUGCACAACUGCAUGCGGGCUACAGUGGACUAAUUGGUCAGGCACAGCUACAGUGCGCUAUAGUAGACUAAUUGGUCAGGCAGCUACAGAUGUGGGUAGGCACAAGUACAUCAGUGUAACCUGGGCGCGGCAAGGUAGACAGGUCUGACCUGGGCUGAGCGAGAGCGUGCUGGCGUGUGGGCUGGACAUGACCAGGUAUGUACGCGAGGAACCAGACAACCAACCAGCAGUAAAAUAGGGACGAUACAAAACUUCCACAUCAGAUGCAGCUCUAACAGCAACAAGACAAGGAUCAAUCCGUUCUUCAAGUACAGGCCGAAAGUUCCUUCCAACUGCAAAAGUCAACCAAUUAGCAAUUUUUUUCUAAAAACAAUACAAAAGGAGUUAAAAAAAGAAAGCACCCACCAGACAAUGAAUCAACAGGACGCUUCCCACGACAGAUAUCUUGCCGUGCCUGGCGUCGUCGCCGCGCCUCAUCAGCACCCAAAUCUGAAAACACACAGCCACGUAAAAACAACCAACCGCGCAUCAUUAGCACCCAAAUCUGAAAACACACAGGAACGUAAAAAUAACCCAUUUUUUUUACUAAAAUCACACAUAGCUAAUAAAAGACUAAAAAGAGCAAUAAUUAUACUAAAAUCACACAUAGCUAAUAAAAGACUAAAAAGAGCAAUAAUCAUGAGAAACAGAACUACCUUCGGCAAGAAACCUCCCAUCAACAACACCAACCGAGGAAGAGGAAUCCAACGACGUGGAGAGAACACGCUGGGAAGCACGCGCACCGGAACGAACCAUAACAGAGAUGGAACGAACAAGAAGAACUCAGCAAGACAGACAUAAACAAAGACUCCCCUCCCUCCUAACCGCGCACAAAAUCUCAGGCGUGGCAAAGAGGCUUCGAUUCUGAUCUACAUGACGAACAGAGGUGCCGCCAGGGUAAGGAAACGCAGCGGCUGUGUGCGGGAAUUCCCUGUAUACGCUAGCACCUUGUCCCCGCUGAUAGGAAACGGAGGGCCUGGCGCUAGGGGCUGGCCGACGACCAGGUUGGGGAGGAUGGAGCUGCGUGCCGCACCACCACACCUUGGCCUCGCUGAGGGGAGACGGAGAGCCUGGCCGGCGACCAGGUUGGGAAGGACGGGCUUGUGCGCCGCGCUAUCACCUCGGCCUCGCUGGGGGAAACGGAGGACCUGGCGCUAGGGGCUGCCAGCGAACAGGUUGGGGGAGGACGGGGCCGCGCGCCUGUGCGGAGACGGAGGAGAGGAGGCAGCGGCGGCCUAGAGCUGGGCUGGGAUGAUUUCUUGGGGAAACCAUGAACCAACACCAGGCCAGCUACUUAUAGCAACCAAAAGCAAAGAAAAAAUAAAGAUGAAGCCCACCAGAAAAGCCCAGAAGCCAACGUGUCGAUCAACAAACUGCCAGUCUACAACGUGUGAGGCAGACGUGGCGGCAUGCAUGGCCCAUGCAGCAAUCAGACGAAAUCUAGAAGGCCAUUGAUCGCCCGUCUGUCCUCCCUCCUGUGCACCAUGUACGUCCGUGCAUGCAGUUCAAUCGUCAGCUAGCGCGCAGCGCGGAAUAAUAAGGUGCGCCCUGCUUUGAUCGAAAGCGCAUGCAUGUGAAAGCUAGCUAGCAGGUGCAUGUGGAUCAUACGCGGCGGCAGGGAUAGAUGUAUGUACCUAUUUUACACGGUAGGUUACGUUCGCCAGUCUACAACGUGUGAGACAGACGUGGCGGUAUGCAUGGCCCAUGCAGCAAUCAGACGAAAUCUAGAAGGCCACCACAACAGCUCACGUGAAUUGGACCAAGGCAUGCAUGCCACGGCAGUCAAACAAAUAUAUUAAAAAGAAAAUGAAGGAAAGACUGCUAUAGGAUGUACUGCACAGGAGGAGGUAACAUGUCGCUCAAAUAGCAUAGGUAAAAAAAAUUCCAAAAAAUCCAGAAAAAUGGAACCCUUACGGGCCUAGUAUUCUAAAUUAAACAAAAACGUGAUGUGCAUGCGCACACACACACACACACACAAUUUGCUGCUCGAGUUUCAGUCAUGGCAUACACAAUUUGUAUGCAUCCAAAACCGAAGGUACAAAUAGCAGGUAGAUGAGAGGGGGAGCUCACCAUAAUUGUGUUGGGUGGGAGUUGAAGAGGGAGGUAGGGAUGUUGGCCUGCUCCUCUCAAUGAUAUCAUAAAUAACCUUUCAUCUCAAUGUAUUAUUUAGUUAUGCUACAUGUAGAAUGAGAUACAAAAAGAACAUGUAAUAUACCAAAAAAGGGAAUGCAACAACAGCGGAAAGAAAUGCUAAAAGGGAACAUAGAGCAGAAAACCAACCCAAAAUGCAAGCAAGAGUCUUUAAAAGGGAACAUAGAGCAGCAGGAGCAUGAGGCAUAGAAAAAUGGGGUCACCUUAAGAUGAAGAAUCAGUGGCCCUCUCUCAGUUCAAAUCAGAAGGAUAGAACCACUAUUAUUGAUUAGAAUUAUUUUUACUCAGGCAAAACAUUACAACACUGGAUCCUAAGCUACAGGUGAGGCAUACAAAACUACAAGUGUCUAUUAUUUUCAUAUAUAAACAACCUUUAGUAUCUCAACUAGAACCAAAGCAAAACAAAAAAAAUCAUGGUUAAGUAACCAGCAAAGGAAGAAUGCACCUUUUUGGAAUUUUAAAGUAUCAAGACAUUAAAAGUUCUCUUUUGCCUUCAAUACUACACACAUUAGGGGAGGUAGCUGCAGUUUUAUUGCAUAGUGGGCUCAGAUUCGCCUUUUCUCAAUCAUAUAAACUACCCCCAUCAUCUCUUAUCACCAGAUCAAUCUAUUUAUACAAUGGAACUGCCCUGGUUAUCACUCAACAAGAAUGACCAUCCAAGGACAGAUCAAUAGGUAUCACAGGAUUAAAAAGGAUUCUAGAGACAACAUGGAGGAUCCAACUUGAUACCCCAGGUGCCUUGAUUGCUCAAAGGCACACUUAUUCCAGCCAAAGUUAAUCAUCAUCGCCCUAGCACGAACGCCACCGCCAAAGACAAAGCGAAAUGGCGAGAAUGCCCCCGGCGGGGCAGGCUAUUUACGAGCAGUGGCACGAAAUGGGAGUAACUAUUCAUUCCAGCAGUAACUUUUUUUUAUCCGACGGACGAGGUCGUUACAGGGGUCGAUCCGACGGCCCAGAUCCGAUCAAGCGACCUGAUCCGACGGCCAGGAAUCCCAAAUCGUUGUGGUGCGGCCCGAGGAGCUUCUAUUCUUAUUUCUGGAUGGAUGGAUGGAUCAAUAUAGCCAUGGCCAUGUCCCAUACAGUAGCCGAAGCAGAGGAGCAGGAGGAAGAUGGAGCUCACCGAGGGAGGUUGUAGCCGAGGUAGUACUCAGUGCACGCCGGGGUUGCGCGUGAACGCCGUCCAACCAGCAAUGAACCGCGUCGGAGUUGCGCCUUGCACCGUCCCGCCGACGAGCACAAACGCACCAAAAAACCUGUAUAAGAAAGGCAUCGUUAUUUAUCAGAAACAAUUAUUUAGUAAUUACUAUUUCGCAGAAUGACUAAUAGGUAAGACAUAUAGGUGCAAAGAUCUCAUGCUCUCAUGGUUGAGCCUCUUUUUUUUGAGAAAAGACACCCCCGAGUCAAUUAGCUCACCUAGCGGUAGCCCAAGAGCGAGCUUGAGUGGAGUAUUACCUAACCGACAUUGCUUACCCCAUACUCAUUUAUAAAGUAUAUUUAAUCUGUAUGCUCUAUACACAUUUAUUCCAUGUGGUUACUCUAUACUAAACAUAUCUGAUCCAACAGCCGAAACAGCCGUAGAUUAGGUGCUGGCCUAUUGGAAAAUGCAACUGAUUCAUAAGUAGAUCUUUAAGCACCCGUAGGAUGGUAUAUUAGCAAUAGUGCUAAGCAUUUUUUAGAUAGCAAGCUUGAUGAAAUUAAGGAUUUUAGGUUAUUUUUCAAUUAUAAUGCCCAGCAAAGGUUUAAAGAUUUUUUGUUUUAGCUGUCCCAUGACAAUCUGCACUAAAAUCCUAUUACAUCCACGAGCACAUUAAAGAAAGAGAGUUACCUAGCCCACGAUCGGAGGCGCAGGAGCAUCCAAAGGUCCGCUCCAUUAGAGAGGAGUGGCAGGCAGGGAAAGCCGACGCUAACGAGGAGCCCACCCAGCCUGCCUGCAUGAGGAAAAAACCAAGCGCAUGCAUGAGAGGGAAGGUAACUGAGAGUGGGAAGAGCAAACUAAAGCAGCCUGAGCUCUGAGAGAGCUCGGUGGAUGCUUCAUCUCUUAUUUUUGGAUGGAUGGAUGGAUCAAUAUAGCCAUGGCCAUGUCCCAUACAGUAGCCGAAGCAGAGGAGCAGGAGGAAGAUGGAGCUCACCAAGGGAGGUUGUAGCCGAGGCAGUACUCAGUGCACGCCGGGGUUGCGCGUGAACGCCGUCCAACCGGCAAGGAACCGUGUCGAAGUUGCGCCUUGCACCGUCCCGUCGACGAACACAAACGCACCAAAAACCUGUAUAAGAAAGGCAUCGUUAUUUAUCAGAAACAAUUAUUUAGUAAUUACUAUUUAGCAGAAUGACUAAUAGGUAAGACAUACAGGUGCAAAGAUCUCAUGCUCUCAUGGUAAAUCCUAUAAUUAACCAGGGUCAUCAUUAUUAUUAAUCACAAUCCACAACUACAAAACCAAGAAAAGCCUUAGUGAUCAUGAAGGGCAUGAAUGAUUAGCAAAAAGUGGAACGGGCUGAUGAAAGAUACACAGAGUGAGAGACAUGAGAUCCUCACAGUAGCACCACCAUGUUUAGAGACUUGCAGCUCCGGCUUGCUGCUCAGCCGGCGGACACGACACCGAGCUCUCACUGCAUCAACGACUCGGUUGUACGCUAUAUGGAGCAGCAGAAAAAAGGAGAUCAGAACUAUAUAUAUGGACAUCUAUGAGAGAGGGGAACCUGAGAUGCAGUACCUGAGCGCACGCGCAACACGAGUACAACAACCGCACACGAUGGUGACUUCAACGGAGCAGCGGCGUGAGCCGUGACUUGCGCUUCUGCCGUCGACGGCGACAACACCCAUCAACCCAGUCAUGCUCGACUUCACGCACACGAACGAGCAAGGGUUACACCGUGUCCAUGCUCCCGCUGGACGGCGCCGCCAGUUCCGCCGCCUCGUGCGCUGACUGGCACAUGGUGGUGAAGAGGUGGCUGGGCGUGGAGGUAUCUUCCAAGUGGAGAGCUCCCAAUUGAAAACACAUCAAGCAAAGUAUCAGAAAAUAGAAGAAGCUUCAGCGUCGAUAUCGGGCCGUAGCUACUACCCAGCGUCGCAGGCCGCCGUUGAGUGCGACCACGAGGUCGUUGGGUGGGGAGAGGGGCGGGGAGGAUGGGAGGGAACGCAAGGCGGGGAUGGAGGCGCAACGAGUCGAUUAGGCAUCAAUGCAGAGGUACAUGGCGACGGGGAUGUCAGGCGAGGGCAUCGUGUGGCAGAGGCGGCGGCGAUGAACCACUGGAGGAGGAGGCCCGCUGGUCAAAUGCUGCUUUGACUACCUCCACGUCAUCAAAACAAAUGAGCAAACCCAACAACAACAACAACAAGUCCCAAACAAGACGGGAUAGGCUAGAGGUGAAACCCAUAAGAUCUCGUGACCAACUCAUGGUUUUGACACAUGGAUAGCAAGCUUCCACGCACGCCUGUCCAUGGCUAGUUCUUUGGUGAUACUCCAGUCCUUCAUAUCUCUCUUUAUGGUCUACCCCGACCUCUUUUGACAUUAUCAGCAUGCUUUAGCCGUCCGCUAUGCACUGGAGCUUCUGAAGGCCUGCGCUGAAUAUGCCCAAACCAUCUCAGACGAUGUUGGACAAGCUUCUCUUCAGUCAGUGCUACCCCAACUCUUAUCUCGUAUAUCAUCAUUCCGGACUUGGUCCUUCCUAGUGUGGCCACACAUCCAUCUCAACAUGCACAUCUCCGCCACACCUAACUAUUGAACAUGUUGCCUUUUAGUCGGUCAAUACUCAAUGCCAUACAACAUUGCGGGUUGAGCCUAGAACGUGCCUUUUAGCUUUUGUGGCACUCUCUUGUCACAGAGACUGCCAGAAGCUUGACGUGACUUCAUCCAUCCAGCUUUGAUUCGAUGGUUCACAUCUUCAUCGAUAUCCCCAUCCUUCUGCAACAUUGCCCCCAAAUAUCGAAAGGUGUCCUUCUGAGGCACCACCUAUCCAUUAAGGCUAACCUCCUCCUCCUCCUCCUCCUCGUGCCUAGUAGUACUGAAACCGCACCUCAUGUACUUGCUUUUAGUUAUACUAAGUCUAAAACCUUUCGAUUCCAAGAUUGGUCUCCAUAGCUCUAAUUUCCUAUUGACCCCUGCCCGACUAUCGACUACUAGUACCACAUCAUUCGCAAAGAGCAUACACCAUGGGAUAUCUCCUUGUAUAUCCCUCGUGACCUCAUCCAUCACCAAAGCGAAAAGAUAAGGGCUCAAAGCUAACCCUUGGUGCAGUCCUAUUUUAAUCGGGAAGUCAUCAGUGUCGCCAUCCCUUGUUCGAACACUUGUCACAACAUUAUCGUACAUGUCCUUGAUGAGGGUAAUGUACUUUGUUCGGACUUUGUGUUUCUCCAGGGGCCACCACAUGACAUUCCGCGGUAUCUUAUCAUAGGCCUUCUCCAAGUUAAUGAACACCAUAUGCAGGUCCUUCUUUUGCUCCAUGUAUCUCUCCAUAAGUUGUCGUACUAAGAAAAUGGCUUCCAUGGUCGACCUCCUAGGCAUGAAACCAAACUGAUUUUUGGUUACGCUUGUCAUUCUUAAGCGGUGCUCAAUGGCUUUCUCCCAUAGGUUCAUUGUAUGGCUCAUCAGCUUAAUUCCACAGUAAUUAGUACAACCUGAAACAUUCCCCUUGUUUUUGAAGAUUUGUACUAAUAUACCCCGUCUCUAUUCUUCUGGCGUCUUGUUUGCCCGAAAAAUGAGAUUGAAAAGCUUGGUUUAGCCAUACUAUCGUUAUGUCCCCGAGGCCUCUCCACACCUCAAUGGGAAUACAAUCAGGGCCCAUCGCCUUGCAUCCUUUUUAAAGCCUCCUUGACCUCAGACUCCUGGGUUCGCCGCACAAAACACCUGCUAGUAUCAUCGAAGGAGUUGUCCAGUUCAAUGGUAGAGCUCUCAUUCUCCCCAUUGAACAUCUUGUCAAAGUACUCCCGCCAUCUAUGCUUAAUCUCCUCGUCCUUCACCAGGAGCUGUUAUGCUCCGUCCUUGAUGCAUUUGACUUGGUCAACCUCCCUUGUCUUCCUCUCUCGGAUGUUGGCCAUCUUAUAGAUGUCCCUUUCACCUUCCUUCGUGUCUAACCACUGGUAGAGGUCCUCAUAUGCUCGACCCCUUGCUUAACUCAUAGCUCGGUCUGCGACCUUCUUUGACAUCUUGUACUUCUCUAUGUUGCCUGCACUCCUAUCCAGGUAUAGGCGUUUGAAAGAAUCUUUCUUCUCCUUAAUAGCCUUCUGGACAUCAUCGUUCCACCACUAGGUAUCUUUAGCUUCUCUUCUACUUCCCUUGGACACAAAUGAGCAAACUCACCUAACACAAUUUAUGAGUGGUAUUGGAUAGUUCAGGGGGUUAAGGGAGCAAAAAAGUAAUUAAUGGGGUUAUGCAAACCAGCCACUUUGUUCAAGGGAGUUAAAUGGACUUCUUUUCAUUUAUGUACAUUACAUUUAUCAAGUUUAGUUCAAAUGCUUUCUUAUACCAAUCUAAAUAAUUAUGAACCAAGUACAAUAUGUUAUUCUUUUCUCAUAGUGUGCGAUUUUCUUUUCCUUACUCUUGCAGCACUGUCCGGUAUUUCAGUUACAGUUAGAUGAUGAUCCUGAGAUUAUGACACAAAAUUAUCAGGAUUUGCUUACCUUAAUUACCAAUCACAUCACACAGAUUUGGCAGAAUCUUCAUAUUGAAGGAAAUGGUCUUAUUGAGGAGGUUCAAACUUUGCCAAAAGGCGCGGGAUUCUUUAUAAUUGAAUUGCUCGCUCCACUUAGUUGGAUUCAAGAUAAUGAUGGUCCUGUUAGGUUACUUUUUAGUUUUGAUAAUCUUUAUUGCAUUGGGUUCUUUAGAAAUGAAAAUUGGUUUAUCUUUAGUGAUCAUUACAAGGAUAUGAAGGAUGUUCUCGAAGGAACUAUAGCGAGACCUCUUAGUUUUUCUGGCAACUACAACAAGUUAAAUGCCGACUUCUUCAACAUCCAUCUAGGGGUUCAGGCUCUCUUUCAGACUUACAAAGGAAUAGCAGGUUAUCCUGGGUCCCUCAUCAAAGUUCCUCUAUUGACGAGUUGCAUUACCUUUUCAGAGCCUCUUAGAUUUCCAGCAUUUCGUCAGUACAUGAUCAGCAAAAUGUCGACGUAUGAUUCUCCUCCAGGAAGCAUUACGGAGUUUUCUAUUCAUUUUACAAAUUGGUCAAAUUAUUGUGACAUUAUUCGUGAAGGCAGGGCACAGUUCGAUCCUCUUAAUGCGUUUGGCAUACAAAGUUAUGAUGAUCUUUUGGGCCUUGUUGGGAUGAUACUGUAGCUGACAAGAAUGGAUGCACUCCAUUAGUUGCAUUAUUUAUUUCUCUGAAUUCGGUGGAUGGAUAAGGUGGAAUAUAAUGCUACAACAACUGUUUGAACUUAUGGUGUCUGUUUAGGUAUUUUUUAGCGAAGAGGCCUGGAGUACCUGAUAUGAGGGUUUUUGCUGAAAUCUGACAAUGACAACAAUUUGGUUUUCGAGAAUUUGACAUUUACACCGAGGCAUUCUUGUUCUGAGAGCAACAGUGAUUGGCAGCAGCAGUAAUUGUCAGAAUAUUGGUGAAUUUGCCUGAAUCUGGAGCAUUCUUUAUUUUCGUAUUUCCCCACUUGUUGGUUGUGACAUAUUAAUCUGCUCAGUAACUUUCAAUUCUUUCAUGUCACUGAGCAUAGCAAAGGUAUGGCGCAAAGGUAUGGCAGUGAUAGUAUCGACGUAAUUGCAGCUAUUCUUUAUUGCAGUAAUUGUUUAUAAUUAAUCUGCUCAGUAAUAAUUGUUGUAUGUCAAACAAAUAAUGUUGCAUAUGUAAAUGGUGUCAGUAAAACAGUUUUUGAUCUUAUCACUGCUUGUCUACCGGGCCACUAAGAGGAUUCAGUUAAUAUAAAUGUACACUUGGUUGACAUUUAGCAAGUUCCUUUCAGGAUGACUUAUUUUUCUGGAGUGUUCCUACCUUUGUAGCACUAUAAUUCGUUUUCUCACGUCGUUUUUCGCAAUGGUUCCAUUAUAUUUGUCAUUCUGUGGUGUACUAUCGAAUACCAUCUUGUCUGUGCAUACUUUCUUCCAGGAGAGAUAACUAUUCUGUUGCAUCUUCUAUAUGAAUAUUGCUCUGUCAUUUGUCAACUGCUUGUCCGUUGCACAUGGUAACAGUUUCCUUCUAUAAGCUAAUCAUGAUCUGUGACCACUCUUUUUUCUGUUCUCUCUGCAGCAUAGUAUCUUAAUUCAUGUAUGAUAGCACAAUAUUUCAGUACAUAUCCAGUAGCAUGAUAUCUGCAGUAUAAUCCCAGCCAUGUUCUUGAAGCUAUCACAAAAGCAUUUGAUUCUGUCUGCAGUGUUUGUUACUUGAGCUGCUGUCAAAGGAGGCUUUUGGACUGAAAUGGACCGACUGGAUUGCUUGCCUCACCUAGUGGGCUUUUCUAUAGAAGUGCUAUCUCUACUGCCGCUCUUCAUACUUUCAGCUGACUAGUUAGCUGCCCCUGUCCAAGAAGCACAUCUCUCACCGUCUCAUGAGACAGCAUACUGUUUAUCUGAUCCAUCCAAAAAGAUGGUGCCAUUGUCACCGUCCUCAUUGAGACAAAAGCCAAGUGGAGCUACCUCGACGGUGAUCUUUCAUCAGCUACGGCCUCACCGGGAAUUAACUAUAUAUAUAUAUAUAUAUAUAUAUAUAUAUUUUGCGGGUAAGGGAAUUAACUAUAUAUGGCGCAGUAUCUGCAAGGGUGGCUGUGAUCAAGGAGGGCAUGGUUUGGCGAGCAGAUGUGGAUUUGGGAGGAUUCCGGUGCAGUUGGUUUUCCGAGAUCGCGCAGAGGUAAUACGCUGCUGACGCGUGUGUCUGAGCUGAUUGACCCUCUGUAUCAUGCGUGGAUAGAUACCCAACUUGUCAGACAGACUUUCAACCAUGAGGAAGCGGAGGUGAUCCUGAAGAUUCCAAUAUACCAGCAGCACGAGGAUUUCAUAGCUUGGCAGUUUGACAGCAAGGGUUGCUUCUCGGUUCAAUCAGCCUACAGGAUUUAUUGUGAGUUGCAGCUGUAGCUCUGCAUCUGUAGCUCUCUGCUUCUUUUUUGCCCCUCUCUAGUUAAUUGUGUGCGAAGGGGAGCCUUGGCGCAGUGGUAAAGCUGCUGUCUUGUGACCAUGAGGUCAUGGGUUCAAGUCAAGCGGGAGCUACAUGCACCAGGUUGCCCUUUUUUUCUAGUUAGUUGUGUGCGCAAUCUGAACUCGUGUCUGAUUCCACUUUGACGAGAGUAAUGAAAAUGUUAUGUGUGUGUGUGUGUGAAUGAAAAGCGAGUGGCAUUUCAAAACUGGGAACAAAUUUUGAAACCUGACCAAAUGUGUAAAGAAAAUGUUUGUGACAUCUAAAAAAUAUCAUGAGUUUAGAUAAAUGUAUGUGGCAUUUAAAAAAAGUACAAUGUAAAAUAAUAUACGUGUGAUUCAAAAAAUAAAAAAUAAAAAAUGUGCUUGUGACAUUUAAAUGUAUUGAGAAUAAUCACACUUGUGUAAAACAGAAAACCAGUUACCGGCAAAGAAACAAUAUAAAAACGAAAAAUAAAAUAAUGUGAAGAAAAUCAGAAAACGAAAGUGCAACGAAGAAAAAAACAAAUAAAAAUAAAGUAUAAUGAAGAGAAAAACAGAAGAAAACCGAAGAAAAACUUAAAUAAAUAAAAAAUAAAGAAAAACCUGAGCAGCGGGAGCAAUUACGCUAAUGAGCCGGCCUAGUUCAGCGAAUACCAGCUAAAUCCCCUCGAGGUUCAAAAUAGGUCGGGGUAAGAGAGUUUGAUGUGCUGAUUUAAGGGAUUGAAAGUUCAAGGUUUAUUUUAGAUUUGGGAGGUUUGGAGCUGCUAGAGAUGCUCAAAAGAGUUAAAAAGAAAAAAGAAAGAAAAGCAAGUUUAAGGCGACCCCUAGCGUCUCGAGCCCGUGCACUGAGUCCACCCAUCGCCCCGUGCACCCGUCUCCUUCCUUCCUUGACUCCUUCCCCGCACCCACUCCCGGAUCUCAUCUCACACAGCCAGCGCACAUCCCCCACACCCAGAUCCGCCCCAGAUCCGGCCGCCGCCGCCGCCGGCGAUGGCGUGCCUCGCGAUCUCCCUGCAGCCGGUGAACGGCCCGGACAUCCUGCUCCAGACGCGCUCCUGGUUCCCGGUCUCGCGCGCCCUCGCCGCCGUCUCCGCCUUCCGCCUCGCGCGCCUCAGCCUCGCCCGCGGCAAGCAGCACCCCUCCUCCUCCUCCUCCGCCUCCCUCGACGCCAUCGGCGACGACCCGCUGGCCACCGGCUCGGGGCAGCUGGUGGUGGGCGUGGAGUCGCAGUACCGAGUCGUCUACCGCCUCGUCAACUCCAUCUACGUGCUCGGCGUCACCACCGCCUCCGACCACGCCGCGCCCGCCGUCCACGCCUUCGCCGUCGCCGACGCCGUCAACCAGGCCGUCUCCGUCCUCGUCGCCGCCUGCCGCGGCGUCGACGCCACCCCCGAGAAGGUCCACCGCAAGUACCCCGAGGUCUACCUCGCGCUCGACCUCGUCCUCCACGGCGUGGGAUCCGUCCGCCUCUCCCAGAUCCUCGCCACCAUCCAUGGCGACAACCUCGCCCGCAUGGUCAACUCCUCCCCCGACGCCGAGGCCCGCGCCCGCGGCGCCGACUCCUGGCCCGUCGUCGAGCACCUCGCGCAGGACCGCCACGCCGCCCGCGACGGCUUCGCCACCGCCUCCUUCGAGCUCCCCCAGGAGACCCUAUCUGCUGGCGACGAGUUCUCUGCUUCCAGCCUCGCGCCUGCGACCGCUGCGGCUACUGGGGAUGAGCCGCCGCCUGAGGAGGCGCCCCCGGUUGAGAAGGACCCCUUUGCAGCCAGCGACAUGGUUGCUAGCAAGCCAGAGGAGGCGUUGGUUGGUGCCUUCAAGAAGAACAAGGAGACUGCCCUUGUGGUUGCUGAUCCUGCUGCUGCGCUUGCUGGGUUGGAGGUCACCACUUUGCCGCCAGCCGAGGCCACUAAACCAACAUUCAUUGGGGUUGAGGGAUUUGAGGGUGACUACGGUGGAAUUGAGUUUGGUAAUGAGGAAGCUUCACUGGCUGAGGCAUUUGAGGGCUUCAAUGCGCCAUUUGGGGGUGGGCUUGAUGCUUCUGAGUUUGUUACCACAACCAAGAAGGAUCACAAGGACAAGACCCUCACUGGUCUUGAGAUUCUAGCCAUGAGUGGUGGGCAGGCACCAAAUGCGCCUUCUGGUUCGCCACUUGACAGCUUGGUAACCCCGAGCAAAGAGAUGACCGUGCCUGAGUUGUGCAUCGUUGAGGAGAUCAAUGCUGAAUUCAACGAGUCUGUUCUUGCACGGGUUGGUCUGAAGGGUACAAUCAUUUUGCAGACCUUACCACCAAAGAAGGCAGCAGGGAGGGAGGCAGAGUUCUCAUUCCGGCUUGAGGGUACUUCUGGAAUGAAGAGGGCUGCCUUGCAGAGUACCGUGUUGAGCAGCCUCGAGAACGGCCUGUUCCAUGUGAAGACACCAUCGAAGGAGGAACCUAUCCCCAUCAUGAAAUACAGCUUCCUGCCCAAGCACUCACCUCUCCCCCUGAGGUUGCGUCUUGUAAAGCGCCACAGUGGUACAUUGCUCUCACUGAUGAUACACUAUGCGUCGAACCCGAUGUUGCCGCGGCCACUGAGCAAUGUUACAUUCAUUGUUAAGCUUCCUGUGGAUCCAACUCUGCUUAAUGUUUCGCCCAAGGCUGUGUUGAACCGGGCUGAGAGGGAACUCAGGUGGCACAUCUCAGACAUUCCUCUGAAAGGCCCCGCUGGACGGUUGAGAGCACGGAUGCCUGUGGAUCAAGACUCUAAAGAUGGCGAACUGGAGGUUGUUGGAAUGGUGAAGUUUGCUUACCAAGGGCCAUUCACUUUGUCGGGCAUCAAGCUCUGCCCAGCCAUCAAUAGCACUGCCCAAUUUAACGAAGUUGGCCACACUUUCUCCAGCGGGAGCUACCGUUGCAUCUGAGUUGGUACCUUCUUUGUACUGUAGCUGUUUACUUUACCCCCUUUUCAGUUUGCUUCUACAACAGGGUGUGAAAUUCAUAUUUGUACGUAUAUGUUUUGUGAGGCUGGAAUUUAAACCAUGUUUUCGAGUUGUGAUUAUUCAUCAAGGCUGCACAAUCUUUUGCAAGUUUCAUAGUACUGCUCAAUGCUCAUUAUGGAUGAACUGACCUUUAGUAAUUCAUUCACUAUUGAAAGCUGUCAUUACCUUUUCAGUCUAGUUUUCUAGAAUAAGGAGAGGAUCUCCCCUGGCCUCUACACAAUCUUUUGCAAGUUGGCAUUGAAAAUGAUUUGUUUGCUUUCAAGUUGAAACUUGCAAAUUUGGUGCCGAGAUGUUUAAUGUAUAUCCCUUUUCUCAUUACCUUCCAACUGCACAAUACAUAUUUGGUUUUUUACUUCCUGUUGAUAGGUGAACUGAAUUGUUCACGGAGAAUCUGGUUAUGGUAUUUUAUUAUACAGAUUCAAACAUAGUUUCUGUUCUUUAACCAAAAGAGUGAUGGAGUAAUUGCUCGCAGGUGAUUGCUUUGCCCCUUGUGUUCCUUUGAUGCACCAUUGACCUUUUUAUUCUUUUAUGACACACAGGUUACUCUUUUCAUCCUCUACAUAGGUUGUCCUAUAAGGAUAGCACAUUUCUGUAAGACAUUAGACAUCCACAUCUAUGCUGGGAAAAGAUUCAAGUCAAGUAAACACUUUAUUUCUGGAAACACGGUAAUCAGGAUGGUUGAACUCGAAUCCAUUUUUCGCUCAUAGGGAUCUCCAAGGGUAUGAAUCUGACAAAUCCCCUGUCUUUGGGUAGUGGUUUUGCCCCUGGGUUCAAAAAGCAUGGAAAGGGGAAAACACUUACAUAGCUGCAAAGGGAAGAGAUCAAUCUAUACAAAAACAUUCCUUUUCAAAAUUUUAGUUCAUCAAUUCUGUAUCGUGUCAGUAUGAUGCCUGGUUUUCUAGGCUCCCUUGCAUGAUUGACAUUAAGCAACGAUGAUGUGCUUAUCUUACAUACAGUAUGCUGAAAAUAAAAUUUACCAAUUCAGUGGUGCCAACUCUAAUACUCCUAUUGCUCUGGCGGGCUGCUAUGCUGUUGGUAAUAUUUAGCAGAAUCAAUUAGGAAUUGUCCUCUGUUAGAUAUCUGUUUUGUGCAGUUUAAACUUGCAAGGUUCUUUUUUUUUUAAUCAUGAAGUACACACCAUGCUCUCCAAAUUUCAGGAAUUUCUAUCUUGGAUGCCCACAUUAUUCGGGUUAAUUCAUCUCUAUUGCUGUAUGGGUUCCUUCCUGGUUCAUAGGUUCCGUUUAGCUGAAAUCUUAUACUGCACGUGUGUUAGCUGAAUGCCAGCUCAUAAUAUUGAUUUCCUGUAAUUCUCACCUGCAAUUAUUCUUCAGUUUUCGUUAUGCACAAGUGCCAAUUUUUUAUAGUUAAAAAUAUGGCAGCAUAUCUGAUGAAUGUUUGCAAGUCUUUAAUAACUAGGAAAUUGCGACAUCCAAUUUUGACGUAUCUACAUUUUUGGUGAUUUUUGAAGUUUCGACGUGUGUAUUCCCAUCAUACUCUUUAUUCUUUUUUCCUGUAAUGUUUGUAGAAAGAGACUGGUAUGGAUGCAAACUAUAACUUGAGUCUAGGGCAAAUAAAUCCUCUCUCUAAGGCAUUCUUUACCUUUACUUUGGCCGUAGCAAGUAGGAGUAGUAUACAUAUCUGUAGUGUCUUGAGCGUGUGUAGAUAGAUUGUAUUUUGUUCCUUCCAUGGUUUGUAUUUAUAUAUACAGUACAUGAAUUGAAACUGUGCUGUAUUCUUCCAGCUUACACUAAUUGCGUAGCUUUAUGUUAUACUCCCUCCAUCCCAAAAUAAGUGUCACAGACUUGAUCCAACUUUGUACUAAAGUUGUACUGAAUCUGCGACAGUUAUCUUGGGACGGAGGGAGUAUCUGUCAAGUGUCACUUCGUCGCACUUUUUCCUGUUGCUGGAGGGUAACUGCAUUGUCAAUGAUAUUCUUGUAUUGAUGGUAGUGUCGAAACUCGGAAGGUAGAGUGUAUUCCAGCAAGGUAUGAAUCAACUGAAUGGGUAAAAAAAAAACACAAGCCAUGCUCAGAGAUGGGCAAGGCUACUGUCCGUAUGAAUGAAGCACCUAAAUACAAGAGGAUGGCAUCAUGGAAAAAGAUGAAAUUGGACACAUCCAGCAACCCGACAACAGAAGCCAAAUCGAUCCACAACUAUAAUCGCUCGAGGCUCUCAUGGAUGUGACGUCUUGCCCAGUCCCCACGGUCAGUACCAACUAUCAUCGAACGAAACUGCUACGUAGACGAUGCAUGUGUGCACGACACUAGGACGACGGGCAGUCCAGCCGCUGAUAUGCGCUGGAUAGUAUGCAUGGACGGCUUGAUAUGUGCUGUCGUGCACGAGUCGUCCGCACGGCGUCGUGUGUAUAGCAGCGCUGAUCAUCGAAUACAAGAUCGAACAAUAAGCUCGUGAGAACAAAGGCCGGUGGAUUGCAUGGGAACUUGAAGCAAGAACGUGGAUAUUUCAUCCAUUCAAAAUACGACUCACAAACUCAUAAGCUAGCUCUGCCCAUUUACAAUAAGCUUGUACUCAAUCAUACCAGGUUGAAUAUACAAACAUUACAAUGCUGGUGUACGAGACAUCCUCAAGUGGGCAUGGGAGCUGGAUGGCGAAUACUCGUCGCGGUCUCCAUACAAUGCAAAAUUUGUAAGAAGAGACUAGCACAAAUACCCGUGCGUUGCAACGGGAGAAAACACUGGUUCUUAUGAAUCAAAAUUUGCCAGGUCGAACACGGUCUAGUUGUGUGCUAGUGCUCCAAAUUUUCUACCAAAAACUUCCAUGUCCAGCUGCGUUGAUGUUCACACAACCACAACUGUCUGACUCCAUCGGUUGGGCUUCCAUGAAUCAGGUUACCAAAAAUGUGUGAAAAAACAAAAAAGAUAAAGGAUUUAAUUCGAAAGGAGAUAUGAAUAAGUUCGCUAUAAAAAAACACAAGUGUCCUCCUGUAACUGGUCACUUGAUCAAGAUUACGCAGGUGGUAAUAAUGUUAACAUUGAUCCUAGACCUAAAGAUGGCCAGAUGAUAAGGCCUAUUUUAAAGUUUCGCACAGGGCCUCCGAUUUUGCCGGCUCGGCCCUGAUCAGUAGUACACUCAGUUCGACUAUAACUAGCCAAACGAUCUGCUAGCUUAAAUUUUCUAUGGAAUAAACUCCCUAUAAAUUAUUAAAAACUUUAUCUCAACAAUUAGAUGACCAUACACAGAACGAUCCAGAUUAUUGCCCUUGAAAGAUGCCAAUGCUGUCUAGGACAAUGAUUGGGCCUUUGGAGUUCUACUUGGCUAGUGUCAUACCUUGCAUCAAAGCAUUAAUCUCAGCCUCCAAAGCAUCAUUAUAAUUAAAUAAGGACCAGUAUGCCAUGAAAAUAACACUCCCAUCCUGAUUUCACGUAACAAGUGCAUGGAACGAGGUCUCUACUUCGAUGGCGCACAUCGGACAGGAGCUGCACGUCAGCAGGUGUACAUAGGAUUUGCAUUGAUUCGUUGCCAGCACCCUUGAAACAGUUUUCCACGCCAUAAUUUUUAUUUUUUGUGGUACCGAUAGGCGUCUAUGGUUCGUUCUCUACCACGCAGUUGCUAGCUACUACUAGCAUGGUUUCACUCCUAAGAAUCUUCCGAUAGGCGUCUAUGGUUCGUCGAUCCUUCUUUAUGAUUUAUUACAAUGGAUAUGGAUGCACACGCUGUCGCACAUGUGUUCACAGUCAUGACACCACAGUGAGAACUAAGCAUGUGACACAUGCUCCCAACAUGCCUGUUGUGGCACAUUUUUUUCGAUAACCAACCAACCAAAUAGUCACAGGGCACGGCUUAGACACUCAAGAAAAUCAGGUGGUUAUAGAUCCAUACCAAUGGCUGUGGGCAUACUCUGGUCAUGUAAACGUUUGUACUUAGGGCUUCUUUUCUCCGGUUUUGAAACUGUGGUUGUACUCUGGUCAUGUAAACAUUUGUACUUUUGGGUUAUUUCCCUGGCUUUUGAUUUUCCUUUAAUAUAACACAUGCAGCCACCUUUAAGAAAAACAAAUUCCUGCCAGCUUGAUUGAUUGUUGGGUGUUGACAGCCACAGAGAUAAAAAUAGGGGAAGUGCCCCUCUGUGUGCGCAUAAAACUGGUUCUAUUUUAGACGAGCUGUUUAACAUAUUUUGACAAAACCUUGCAUUUAGAGCAUCUCCAGCCGCGUCCCCAAUAGGCCUUCCCAGGCCAUUUUUUCGGCGCCAGCGUCAAAAAAACGCCCCAGUCGCGCCCCCAGGACGACGAAAAGCGCCGGUUCGGCCUUUUUUCGCUAGGCGGCGGCAGGCCGAACCCGACGCACUGGGGGGCGAUCGGGGGCUCCGGCGCAAGGGAAAAGCGCGGCUGGCCCACACCGUCAGGCGAAAAGUCAAGAUUUUCUUUCCCGACCCGCCUUCCACCCCCCGCGCCCUCGGCCGCCACUAGCUAUAUCCCGGCGCCGCCCGCCGCCCUUCACCGCUAGAUAGCCAUUCCCCGUCGGAUAAAUAGCAUAGGUUCGCUGCGGCAGCCCAUCCAACAACAGCUGGGCGUCGGCGUGUGCACGCCCACCGGGCGCAAGGUGUUCGGCGAUUUGCCUGCCUCGGCGAUGGACUCGGAUGACGAGGAAGCGCUCGCCGCGCUGCUGGAGGAGGAAGCCGAGGCCGACGUCCAGGAAGAAGAGCAUCUGAUGGUGCUCGCCGCCCUCGCCCAGCUGCUGGCGAGCAAUGAAAAGCCACGGCGAGGUGGCUCGGCGCCGGGGCGGGUGAAAGCAAAAAACCGGCAUCGUCUCGAAGGCUACUGCAUGCUCUACUCCGACUACUUCGCCGAUGCUCCACUUCACGACGAUAAGACAUUUCGGCGCCGUUAUCGGAUGAGCCGAAAGCUCUUCCUCGGGAUUGUGAAUUCCAUCCGGGAGUUCGACAACUACUUCAAGUGCAAGAUGGAUUGCACCGGCAAACUUGGAUUCACCUCGAUCCAGAAGUGCACGACAGCGAUGAGGAUGCUUGCAUACGGAGCUCCCGGUGAUUCACUGGACGACUAUGGGCGCAUGGCCGAGUCCACCAGCAUGGAGUGUUUCUACAAGUUCUGUCGGGCAGUGGUGGCAGCGUUUGGACCGCAAUACUUAAGAACACCCAAUGCGGAAGACACUGCUCGGAUCCUAGCAUAGAAUGAAGCAAGAGGAUUUCCUAGGAUGCUUGGAAGUAUCGACUGCAUGCAUUGGAAAUGGAAGAAUUUCCCAUUUGCUUGACAGGGGAUGUACAAAAGCGCCAAAGGCGGUUGCAGUGUGGUACUUGAGGCUGUGGCCACACAGGACCUCUGGAUUUGGCACUCCUUCUUUGGUAUGCCAGGAACUCACAAUGACAUCAACGUGUUGCAGUGCUCUCCUGUCUUUGCCAAGCUUGUUGAAGGUCAUUCUCCUCCGGUGAACUUCGAGAUCAAUGGGCAACACUACAACAUGGGCUACUAUCUAGCUGAUGGCAUCUAUCCGAGAUGGUCGACAUUUGUGAAGACGAUCUCAAACCUUGUGCCAGGAGGCAAGAAUGCCUGAUUUGCGAAGGUUCAGGAGGCUUGCAGGAAGGAUGUCGAGCGGGCAUUUGGUGUGCUCCAAUCUCGAUUUGCUGUUGUCCGGUACACCGCUCAGAGCUGAUCGAAAGAUCAAAUAUGGGAGAUUAUGACUUGCUGUGUCAUCUUGCACAAUAUGAUCAUCAAGAGCGAGUAAGAAGACCCAGUGUUUGACACUGAACCAUACUACAGGCAGGGUCCUCUAGGCGAAGUUGAUCACCAGCUACCGGCAACCUGGACUGCCUAUCUCAGUAUGCGUCAAGAGAUCCGAGACCCACAGAUGCAUCAUCAACUGCAUCAAGAUCUGAUAGAGCACCUAUGGAGGCUCAAGGGCGACGCCGGGCGCGAUGUGUGAUGAAAUAUGAGUUUUUAUUUGUUGAACUAUAUAAUUUGUAUUGAACUAUUUGUUAUUGUACUAUUUUGUUGAAGUAUUUGAUUUUUCUGUGAUGAAGUAUGUGAUAAAAAAAAUUUAUAUUGAUAAUUGAACGCUGAGCAACAACGAACCACGCCGAAUAUGGGUCUAUUGUCGCCCAUAUGGGCCCUUUAUUCCCCGAAAUAUGGCUGAAAAGUGGGCCAAUAUCGGCGCCUGGGGGUGACGACUGGACGCAAAAUCGCCUCACAGCCGAUUGUAUCGCCGGCUCGCCUCCAAGAAGCGAUUUUUAUGCGUCCUAGGGGGCCAACGGCUGGAGAUGCUGUUAUCAACUGAAAUGUGGGAGGUAUAUGAAUGAUUCUCUUGGUCGGCGUGGUCCUGCAGAUAGGCUAUGUGGUGCCUGCCGCCGGCAGGAUGUUGGCCGGCAAAGUGGCUGUUGGCGGCGGGUUUGACUUGGAUAACUUGGAGGGGGGCGUCCAGGUGAAAGCCGGGACCUUCGCGGUCGAGGCGGAGGUGGACAUGACCGCCGGCGUCCUCAGCGCGCAGGUGACCGUCGGCCUCGGCAGACAGCCGUGAGGCUGAUCAGCUCUAGCUCAUCGAUUCCCCAAUGGCAUGCAUGCGUUCCUCGCCGUUGUCAGUGUUGGUUCCUUGCUACUCCCUUUAUUCCAAAAUAUAGUGCGAUCGCGCUUCCCAAGAUCCAACUUUGACCAUAAAUUUAACUAACGAGACCGACUGCUGCGGGAGAAAAAAUUAUAUAAUUGAAAACUUCUUUCAAAUACGAAUUCACUGAUAUAAUUUUUGCUCCCGCCGCAAUCGGUCUUGGUAGUUAAAUUUACGGUCAAAGUUGAAACACGUGGAUAGAGGAAACACUACAUUGUGGAACGGAGGGAGUAUUGUUUUGCGCGCGUGUCCGAUUUCAAUUUAUAUCCAGCUGGUUUCGCUACGUUUCUUGUCCGCACGGCUUAAUAAACAAAAUGUACUUUUAUUUAACUUAUUUACCAGCAAAGUGGGCUGCUCAAUGCGCGGAAUAGAAUUCAUAUUUUUAGCAAUAUGACCAUAUACUUGGAUUGUUUGAAGAAAAACUGGGAAUUGCGCAUGACGUACCAAUUGUACUUUUCAUGAUCAGUCGUCUUGUUCAAAUUAUAUUCUCAAGUAGUAGAUCCCAACCAUGCUCACAUUCGUCCCACAACUCCUCGUCUUCGUAAUGGUUCGACCGUGAUUCGUCGUCGAUUCUCAAUCAAACAGGCACGUCCACGACCUGUUAAAACCAUCGAACCAUCCACGCAUCAUCCGUGAAGAAAAGAACAGGUCGCUAAUCCCACAAACCCACCACGAAUGCAUCUUUUAUCGAAAUCACUAAUUGAGAAGUAUUUCUUGCAAAGAUCACUCUUGCCUUCUUAGUGUUGGAAAUAUGAGCAAUUUACCGAAUGAUUUUAUUAACAGAAAUACUAGAUAAAGCAUGACUAGUAUGACAGUGAUAAAAUAAGUCAUGCAAUUUAUAUAAGAGAAGGUAAACAAUAUCUUUAUAUAUGAACCGUGACUAAACACAUCUAGAGCAGACAGUAUAGCAAGUUGCAUAUAUAAAAUAGAUUCUAAUAUAUUUAGGUCAAACACUAGAACAAGGAACUGUAACAGGACCUUUAAUAGAAAGAGGAAGACCACGUACGGGACAGCAGCAGCAGAAGCGCAGUCGCGCGAAGCGCUCCCCAAAAACCUUAUCUCCCUUCUUCCGUACAGGACUCAAAAGGUGCGACCUCUCUUAAAUAGACACAGGAGAAGGAGGCGAACAGGGCGAACAGGCUGCGACGGGAGGUGAAGCAACAGAGGAAGACGAAGCGAACAGACUCGUCGCGUCGCGUCGCGUCGUGGCGAGGCGUGGCGUGGCGUGGCGAGGCACGCGGAGGAGGAGAAGCGCGCGUGGAUGUCCCUCUUGUUCUCAUGCUCAUACAAGUGGGGAAAGAACCUCCCUUAUAAAGAGGUCCAACUCCCUCUAAACUAGCAAUGUGAGACUAAACUUUAGUUCCACCUCUUGCCUUGCACGAAUGGGCUGCGUGAGCCUUUAGGAUUUAUUAGAAAUUUCUGAAACUACUAUUGGGCUAGGCCCAAAAUAGACAAAAUUUCAGGAAUCCCCCACCAGAUCCCAGAGACACACAUAAUUUGCCUUUGGUUCCAAAACACUGUUUUAUAUACCGGUACUGCAGUGAAGACUGUUAAGUUGAACUUUCACCUAGAACUCUAUGCUACACUAGUAAGCAACUUAAACAAUAGACUGGGCCUUGAACUGCAAAUUUUCUGCGAAUCUACCUUCACAUAAAGCCUUGACCGAUACUAGGCUACCGUGGGUCUUCCCCGCGGGUGGAGCUUAUGCGUCAUACUCCGUGACCUUUCAUGAGUUUACUUGAGAGAACCCUACUCUCAUAGAUUGUGACGUUUGACAAUCAGACUCAUAUAGGUGUGUCCUUCAAAAGAUAUUCUGCAGGACAACAUGUCUGCUUAAAUGAGUCACUUAGAACACAUUAAGAUAUACAUCAACCUGCCAUGCAGAUUAGGAGAGUAUUGCAUCGUCAUGGAGUGGUAUUUUUAAUAGUAAGGAUACUCUCCUCUCAGUUGAUCAACAUCUUAUCUUCCACAUCUAAUUCACGGGAUCUCCAAUCACAAAUAAUAUGUUACCACUGUGAACAACUCAUAUUGUGGGUCUCAUACCCAUCUCCCUCGACGCAUUAUCUAUCACAUUACGUGAUAAACUCUUAUUAAAAGGAUCUACCAGUUUUUUUAGAAGUUUGGAUAUAAUCCAAUGCAAUAACUCCGGAGUUUCUUAUUUUCCUGACAGACUUUAACCUUCUCUGAACGUGUCUUGAUGACUUUAUGUUAUCCUUUGAGCUGCUCAUUUUCGUGAUCACAUUUUGAUUGUCGCAGUUCAUAUCGAUACCCGGUACAAGUUUCUCAACAAUCGGCAAGUCAUUCAAGAGCCGGCGAAGCCAAUCUACUUCGACCGUAGCUGUAUCUAGUGCUGUGAGUUCUGCUUCCAUUGUUGACCUCGUUAAGAUGGCCUGCUUGCAAGACUUCUAAGAAACAGCGCCACCUCCAUGAGUGAAUACAUAACCGCUCGUGGCCCUUAUCUCAUCAGCAUCUGAGAUCCAGUUUGAGUCAUUAUACCCUUCAAGCACCUUUGGGUGCCCGAUGUAGUGAAUUUCAUAAUUCGCAGUGCCUUUCAAAUAACGCAAAACUCUCUCUAGAGCUUUCCAAUGCACAUCUCCUGGUUUUGAGACAAACCGACUCAGUUUGCUAACAGCAAAAGAGAUGUUAGGUCUUGUAAUACUGGCUAAGUACAUAAGUGAGCCAAUAAUCUGAGAAUAUUUCAAUUGAUCUCUAGCAAUUCUUCGAUUCUUUCGAAGUAACACACUCGCAUCAUAUGGUGUUGGAGAGGGCUUGCAGUCACUAUAGCCAAAACGACUCAAGAUCUUUUCCACAUAGUGAGAUUAAAGCAAUGUAAUCUCACCAUCACCGUCUCUCAACAACUUGAUGUUUAGAAUGACAUUAGCUACUCCUAAAUUCUUCAUCUCGAAACAACGAGAUAGGAAAUCCUUGACCUCCUUAAUAACAUCCAUAUUUGUUCUGAAAAUCAGUAUGUCAUCAACAUAUAAGCAAAGAAUAACUCCUUCGCCCCCACCAUGGCGAUAGUACACACAUUUGUCAGCUUCGUUUACAACUAUAUCUGGCCAUGGGCCGGGCCUAAAAAAGUCCAUGGCAGAAGACUGAGGCCCAGGCCCUCCCAGGCCCUACUUUUCAAGCCCAAGCCCGGCCCAUCUGGUAAAAAGCCCUGAAAAGCCCUUAGGGCUUAGGGUCGUGGGCUGGGCCUCUUCCUUAAAAUGUCAAUAUGCUAAGCCCAAGCCUGCCUAGGCCCUGCUAUGGGCUCAAAACUCAGGCCCAAGCCCGGCCCACGGUCAAGCCCAUCGAGCCUAGGCCCUGGAUUUUAGGGUCGGGCCUGGGUGGGCCGACAGGGCCGGGCCUGAGAUGGCUAGGACUAUUUACAACAAAGCCUGCAGCUGAUAAAGUUCUUUCAAACUUCUCAUGCCACUGUUUAGGUGCUUGCUUGAGUCUAUACAAAGACUUCAGCAACUUGCACACUUUUCCUUCCUGACCAUCUAGUACAAACCCAUCUGGUUGUUCCAUAUAGAUUUCCUCGUCCAACUCUCCAUUUAGGAAAGCAGUCUUAACAUCCAUUUGAUGAACGAGAAGACCAUGUGAGGCAGCUAGUGAAAGUAGAACUCGAAUAGUGGUCAGUCGAGCCACAUGUGAGUAAGUAUCAAAAAAGUCUUCACCUUCCUUUUGAGUAUAACCCUUAGCCACAAGCCCUUGUACUUUUCAAUAGUACCAUCAGGUCUAAGCUUCUUCUUGAAUACCCAUUUGCAUUCUAUAGGUUUGCACCCAUAAGGACGAUCAGUUAUCUCCCAAGUUUCAUUCGUCAAGAUGAACUCCAUCUCACUAUGAACUGCUUCCUUCCAAUAAUGAGCAUCUUCAGAUGCAUAUGCCUCUGAAAUAGAACUGAGAGUGUUAUCUAUGAGAUACACAAGACAAUCAUCACCAAAGGACUUUGCAGUCCUCUGUCUCUUGCUCCUAGUAGGAACUUCAUUGUUCUCCUCCACAUGAUAGACAAGAUUCCAGCACUUAGGUUGUGACAAGUGACGCGCUGCAUGUGCAUCAUUUGUCACAACCUGAGAAUUUUUCCUUUUUUAUAGAUAUGUUUAUUCAAAACAUUUUAUCUUUUAACCAUGCAUCCAAAUCUUGAACUGUUUUUACCGUUGAAUUCCUCACGUCGAGAUCUUCAAAACUAGAUCCCGUGUUGAUAGAUUUUAACGAAAUUUUUUUUACAAAAAAAUCAAACCGGGAGCCUGAUUUUUUUUCCUUUCCGCAAGAGCAUGACUGUCGACUGUGCCUCUCGCAGGAGCAAAACCAUGCCUCUCGUGAAAAACAAACAAAAAACGCAUUCUUUUUCCAUUUCUGAGAGGUCAUGCCACUCCCGAAAAGCAUAAUCGUGCCUCUUACGGAAGAAAAAAACAAAAACAUGUUUUUUUUUCAUUUCUAAGAGGCACGGCCAUGCCUCUCACGAAAACACAACCGUGGCUUUCGCGGAAGCAAAACCAUUUCUCUCGCGAAAGAAAAAGUUAAAAAACAUGUUUUUUAUUUUUCUGAGAGGCACGGCCGUAUCGCUCGUGGAAGGAAGAAAAAAGGAAAUACAAUUUUUUUUCGUUUUCCAAGAGGCAUGGUUUGUGUCUCUCGUAAAAGCAAAAGCCGUGCCUCUCGCGAAAAAACAUGUUUUCUAAAAAAAUCUUUUCAAAAUUUUUGUUUGAUCCAAAAGCUAAGGAAGACCAGUGGAAAAUCAAAAGGACAAAAAAUUCAGAACAAAACCGUUUAAAACCCAAAAACAUGUGUGAAAAAAUAAAAAUAAAAAUAAAAUUCGAAGGGAGAGCCGGCCCACCCGCAAGUGAUCGCUGCGAGGCUCCGGAAAGAGCGCUCUUCAACUAGUUGUUCUCACUUUCUCCCCCUCCCCACUAAACCUGGCAUUCAUCAGGCCAGGCCUGGUUUCAGGCCGGGCUUGUCAAAGCCCAACAACAGAUUUGCCAGCCCGAGCCCGGCCGAAAGGCCCCACACAUCUUUUUGUUACGGGAUCCACCAGGUCAUCCCGUGGUACUGAAGGCCCAGCCCAGCUGGAACGGCCCAGGAGGGAGGCAAGGCCCAACCCGUGAGCCCAGCUGGAACGGCUCAGUGAGUAGAUACACUCUGGUGAGCUGCAACAAAUAAAGCUGUAUUUAAAUCUCAAGCUCGAUUUGAUACUAUCGUAAUUUCGUACUACUAUGUCUUUUCUGGUUCUCAAGCUCGAAUUUAAACCUAAAAUUUCUGACAAAGCACAUGGAUAUUGUAUGACUGAGGCAGAAAAAUAUAUUGUUUCCACAUGGACAACCUCCCCAUAUUUUCUCAAACAAAAUCAUAUACAUGCUAAAAAAAAUCAAAGUUCAAAUGUACAUCAGCGCCUGCUACAUGAAAGAGAGAUGGCAAAGACAACUCAUCGCAAAAGAGAGCAAGCACCCAUGUCACAACAACUAUUCAAGGUCACACAGAUCCAGAAACACAGGACACAGCUCAUAUAGAAACACGAAGAACACGCCGAGGCCCCGGUAGAGGAAGGCCCCCACAUGUACAA